GGGCGAGUGGCGGAAUUGGCAGACGCAAAGGACUUAAAAUCCUUCGGUCGCAAGACUGUGAGGGUUCAAGUCCCUCCUCGCCCACCA
rnacentral:tRNA from 1 species